rnacentral:lncRNA from 9 species
AUAUACACCCAAAUAUACCUUAUAUAUACCUAUAGUGUAUAAUACAUGCAAUAUAAAUUUUCAUGUUCUAUAAACAGAUUCUUAGGUCCUUACCUUCAGAAAUCCUAAUUCAUUCAUUUUUACCUAUUUUAGUAAUUUAUUGCUGUUUGUACUAAGCUCCCAGGUAAUGUAGCUAUACAAUUUGAGAACCAUCUAGAAAUCAUUUAAUCUAUCCCCAUUCCUCCAUUUUACAGAAGAGGAAAGAGAAUCCUAAAGAAGUGAUGCCAUUUGUUCAAGGAGCCAGUGUACUGAUGGAGCCAGUAUAUUGUUGUUGACACCUAAAUCUUGUCAAGUACUGGCAAACAGACAGACAAACAGAUGAACAAAUAAAUCAAAUAUUUACCACUUUACAGAAAGGAAACCGAGGCUUAUCAUGAGUAAAAAGUUGCCGAAAGUCAUACAGCAGGACUGCAAGAGCUUCCACUCAGACACCAAAACGAAUGAUCGUGAAAGUAUGGAAUAUUCAUGCAAUGGAAUACCACUCGGCAGUAUAAAGGAACAAACUGCUGAUAAACACAACCCUGUGGGUUAAUCUCCAAAACAUUAGACUGAAAGAAAGAAUCCAAAGUAAAGUCUGUAAAAGAGUACUUACGGCACGAUUCCAUUUAUACGAAGCUCAGGAACAAGCAAAUCCGUGUUGAAAGCAAUCAGAGCAGCAGUGAGGAGUCGAACUGGAAGGAGGCUGAGGAAGAUUUUUCAAGGUGAUGGUUGUUUUCUCUGUCUUGACAGGGAUGUUGUGUUAUGUUGGUAUGUGCACUUGCCAAAUUGCUUGUAAUUAUAACACCUAGUGUUGUCCACUGUAUCUAUGUUAUGCCUUAAAAUCAAAGUUAUUAAGAGAAAAAACGUGUGGUUAUUUUCCUUUUUGCCUUUACUUCCAGCAGCAUUUUAAGUAUAACCAAUUAACCAAUAAUAACUUCAAAUUGUUUCUUUUUCCACAUGACAUGUAGAAUCAGAUUAUCCUUCUCCAAGUCAAUCCUGAGGGUGUUUUAAUUGGAAUUACAUCUCAUUUAACCAUUAAAACCUGAGAAGAAGCUUUCCAUUUUGUCUUCUUUCAUCAUCUGAAUUUUUCUUCAUACAACUUUUGUAGAUACUUUGUUAAGACAAUUUCUUCGUGCUUUGUUGCUCAUGUUAGACAGCAGUCUGUUUAUUUUGGGGAAAACGUCAAUGAUAUUAUUUUACACUGGGUUAAUCCCAUCUAUGUCAUUUUUUUUUUUUUUUUUAUUGGCCGUGCUGCAUGUGGAACUUCUUGGGUCAGGGACUAAACCUGAGCCACUGCAGUGACAACACCAGAUCCUUAACCCACCCGCACCACC